AGUGUCUCAAAAAAUAAAAGUGGUAUCAGAACUUAUUAACAUUAGUGUCACUAAAGUUGGUAUAUCACCCCCCCACUGCUAAAUUUGACUGGCUUAAA
rnacentral:sRNA from 1 species